rnacentral:rRNA from 1 species
GACAGAGGGUGCAAACGUUGUUCGGAUUUACUGGGCGUAAAGCGCGUGUAGGCGGCUUUGCAAGUCGGAUGUGAAAUCCCACGGCUCAACCGUGGAAGUGCAUCCGAAACUGCAUCGCUGGAGUCUCGGAGAGGAAGGUGGAAUGCUUGGUGUAGAGGUGAAAUUCGUAGAUAUCAAGCAGAACACCUGCGGCGAAGGCGGCCUUCUGGACGGAUGACUGACGCUGAGACGCGAAAGCGUGGGGAGCAAACAGG